GGGCGCGUGGCCUAGCCUGGACAUGGCGCUGCCCUUCUAAGGCAGACAGCACGGGUUCGAAUCCCGUCGCGUCCG
rnacentral:tRNA from 1 species